GAAACGGAGAGUCCCGGGGGCAGCUCCAGCCGCUCCAACCCUAAUGUGGGAGGCCAAACUCCGGCACUUGGUAGUUAUCUCACAGCUCUCCCAAGGAGAUAGGAGCUGGGCUUUCCAAGAAAGCAAUUGCAAACAUGUACAGAAUGCUAGAACAACAUCCGUGAAUCUACGCUGCCCCUCAUUAAUGGAUGCUAACCUUUUUACCUUAUUUCCCUCAGAUUUUCUUCAACAAAAGAAAACAUUACGGAGACAUCGAAGGCCCCUUUGCGCCCUACCCCGCCACCUUUUCCUGCUUCCUCCUUCCUAGAC
rnacentral:lncRNA from 1 species